GUAGCUAAAUUGAGAAAGCACUUGUCUAGCAUACAAUAGUUGUGAGUUCAAAUCUCACC
rnacentral:tRNA from 1 species